rnacentral:lncRNA from 1 species
UCUGAAUAAGAAUUGCAAGUGUGGCAUUAGGGCUGCUGUGAGGAUUUCUGAAUCUGAAAGGAACAAGAACUGCUUGUAUUAUGCUUGUCGCAACAACGUACGUGGCUCGUUCCUGGGAUGGUGUAUACUGGCAUCGAGGUUUUCAGCAAGUGCAGAGACAGUUGAAGUCGGGCCGAGGCAAAGAAAUCUUGGGCGAGAGUUGGCCGAUAUAAAAGAAGAUAUGCUUAUUGUGCAAGAUGAGAAUCGAAAGAUGAUAAUGAAGAUGGAAGAUAUGGAGAAUAUGAUGGGUUUUACAAAGACUAUCUUAGUUGUUGUAUUGGUGUUAAUAGUGUUUAUUUUUCUUCUCAUUCUCGUUCUCAUUGGGGGGAGAAUGAGAUCUGUGUAAUGGAUUUUGCAGUAUUUGCUUAUUGGGGUUAUUUUGGGUGUAAGUAAAUGGAUGAAAAGGGGUAGGUUGUUGAAGUAGUUGGAUGUGGGUUAAUGAAAUCUUAAGUUUCAUAGAUAGUUGGUUAUUUUGGGUGUAAGUUAAGCUGAUGUAUUAUAACUGAUGGGUUAAUAUUUUGUAAUACGUAAAUCUGAUGCAAUGCAAGCUACUAUGAAUGAUGACCA